rnacentral:rRNA from 1 species
CCUAAGUGUAGCAGCAGUGGGGAAUAUUGGACAAUGGGCGAAAGCCUGAUCCAGCCAUGCCGCGUGUGUGAAGAAGGCCUUCGGGUUGUAAAGCACUUUCAGUGGGGAAGAAAGCCUUGGGGCUAAUACCCUCGAGGAAGGACAUCACCCACAGAAGAAGCACCGGCUAACUCCGUGCCAGCAGCCGCGGUAAUACGGAGGGUGCGAGCGUUAAUCGGAAUUACUGGGCGUAAAGCGCGCGUAGGCGGUCUGAUAAGCCGGUUGUGAAAGCCCCGGGCUCAACCUGGGAACGGCAUCCGGAACUGUCAGGCUAGAGUGCAGGAGAGGAAGGUAGAAUUCCCGGUGUAGCGGUGAAAUGCGUAGAGAUCGGGAGGAAUACCAGUGGCGAAGGCGGCCUUCUGGACUGACACUGACGCUGAGGUGCGAAAGCGUGGGUAGCAAACAGGAUUAGAUACCCCAGUAGUC